AUUGAACGCUGGCGGCAUGCCUUACACAUGCAAGUCGAACGGCAGCACGGGAGCAAUCCUGGUGGCGAGUGGCGAACGGGUGAGUAAUAUAUCGGAACGUGCCCAGUCGUGGGGGAUAACGCAGCGAAAGCUGUGCUAAUUCCGCAUACGAUCUACGGAUGAAAGCGGGGGAUCGCAAGACCUCGCGCGAUUGGAGCGGCCGAUAUCAGAUUAGCUAGUUGGUGAGGUAAAGGCUCUCCAAGGCGACGAUCUGUAGCUGGUCUGAGAGGACGACCAGCCACACUGGAACUGAGACACGGUCCAGACUCCUACGGGAGGCAGCAGUGGGGAAUUUUGGACAAUGGGCGCAAGCCUGAUCCAGCAAUGCCGCGUGCAGGAUGAAGGCCUUCGGGUUGUAAACUGCUUUUGUACGGAACGAAACGGCGAGCUCUAAUACAGUUUGCUAAUGACGGUACCGUAAGAAUAAGCACCGGCUAACUACGUGCCAGCCGCCGCGGUAAAAC
rnacentral:rRNA from 1 species